UGAUAGAGGCGCGGCAAGCAUCAGUAACCGGCCGCCGUGGGGCAUCCACCCCGCUGCCGGUGAAAGGGUACGCCGCCGAAGGGGUUCCGUCUGGAUGGGCGGCGCCGCCUGGGCUGUCGGAGAACAUCCGCCAGACUGCCACGACUCAAUGUGGAGCGCUAUCGU
rnacentral:ncRNA from 1 species